AAGUCAUAACAAGGUUUCCGUAGGUGAACCUGCGGAAGGAUCAUUAGAGAUGCCGAAAGGCUUUCCAAACACCUGUGCACUCGGCGGACCCGCUCCGUCUACACAAACAUAUGUCAUGAACGUAAUAUAUCAUAAUCAAAAACAACUUUCAACAACGGAUCUCUUGGCUCUC
rnacentral:misc_RNA from 1 species